GAUGAACGCUGGCGGCGUGCCUAAUACAUGCAAGUCGAGCGAAUGGAUUAAGAGCUUGCUCUUAUGAAGUUAGCGGCGGACGGGUGAGUAACACGUGGGUAACCUGCCCAUAAGACUGGGAUAACUCCGGGAAACCGGGGCUAAUACCGGAUAACAUUUUGAACCGCAUGGUUCGAAAUUGAAAGGCGGCUUCGGCUGUCACUUAUGGAUGGACACGCGUCGCAUUAGCUAGUUGGUGAGGUAACGGCUCACCAAGGCAACGAUGCGUAGUCGACCUGAGAGGGUGAUCGGCCACACUGGGACUGAGACACGGCCCAGACUCCUACGUGAGGCAGCAGUAGGGAAUCUUCCGCAAUGGACGAAAGUCUGACGGAGCAACGCCGCGUGAGUGAUGAAGGCUUUCGGGUCGUAAAACUCUGUUGUUAGGGAAGAACAAGUGCUAGUUGAAUAAGCUGGCACCUUGACGGUACCUAACCAGAAAGCCACGGCUAACUACGUGCCAGCAGCCGCUGUAA
rnacentral:rRNA from 1 species